CUGUUUUCAAAAUGAAAUAACAGCAUGCUGCUUACUGUAUACUGCAUACUGUUUUAGAAAAACUAACACGUGAAAGCAUUUCAAACAGUUAUUUGCUACAUUGUUGUCACAUGAUGCAGGGAUGUGAUUUUCUAAUGCAUCAUGGACAGAAUGAAAGAUCCUGAGACACUGAACGAGCUCACAGCAUGAUCUCAGGACAGUUAAAGAGGUGCAAAUUCAAAUGAACUGAACUGAACUGAAUUUGAGAUUGUUUAGUACUAUCACAUAAAUACAGCAUAUAGUCUGAGGUGCUCCUUGUCUGCUGUAACAGUGCUGUGUUUUCAGUUUAGAUUCUCUGCUGCAAUUGAGUCACUUUCAUUUGAAUUUGGGAACAACAUUUGUCAUUAGAAUCAUUAAAAAUCUGUUGUUGUUUACUAUGAGAAGUUUCAGUGUCACAUGAUCUUCAGAAAUCAUUCUAAUAUGCUGAUUUUUUGCUGAUUGUUGUCAAUGUUGAAAACAG
ensembl:lncRNA